CGCGGCGGAGCGAAGUACUUGCAAGUGGAGGCGGGCCUCCAUGGCUCACACGGGGAACUCCGAGGUUAUGGCGCGGCAACGACGACUCCUUAUGGCCAGAUAGAGGUGCCUAACCCUUGCUCCCUCAUCGUAUCCCCUCCUCCGGCAGGAACUCAUCAUCUGGUGAGAUCUCCUCCCCAUGCCUCUAACCGUGUGCUAAGGACCGGCAAGAAAUUUUGUUUUUGUGGGGAUUUGUUUGUUGAUGAAUGAAUGUAUUGAAUGUAAGAUUCAUUUUUGUAGAGACAGAGAAUGGAACACCACCUUCAGUUUGUCAUCUGAUCCCACAUUCUCUACCCCAUGAGUGAAAUAAGAUAACAGUCCAUUGAUCAAUUCACGUAGCCUCUUUGUUUUGCUUUGCUUGUUCCGCUCAAUUUCUCAUCAUGGUGGAAUUAACAAUGGACGGGUUGAUUUCUCAACAAAAUAGGGUAGGACUGACUACAUUAGUUAGUUACUUAUAAAUCAAAAUGAUUAUAAAAUGUGGUAUUUUUUUUCCCGUUGCAACGCACGGGUCCUUUUGCUAGUAACAUACAAAGACAGAAGGUUCUAACUUCGGAUCAACAUGCUUGCAGGGUGGUGAUCAGUUCCUUGGACUGAUGAAGUAGAAGUAAUCAAGCAUGAAAUAAUCGAUCGAACAAGAAGAGGAUGUAGCUGGCAUAGUUGAGGUCGUGUGUUUGUUGCGCCAUAUGCAUACAUGCUAUUUCUGUAAUCGUUGGUUAACUAGGUGCACUGUCUUUUCUUCUUCUUUUAUGUAGCUGUGCACCCUUUCGGGGUGUCAAAGUGUGUGAUGUGGUCGAGAUGUGUUGCCUUCACGGGGCGCCUUUUUGUGUGUGGAAAAGAUGAGCGCUGAAAUCAAGAUGCAAUGCAAGUGUUCGAUCAUGCUUUCUUU
rnacentral:lncRNA from 1 species